rnacentral:rRNA from 1 species
UCUGACUUUCGUUGUGGUAGGGGAGCAUUCCUAUUGGGUAGAAGCCGUACCGUGAGGAGCGGUGGACUGGUAGGAAGAGAGAAUGCUGGCAUAAGUAAGCGAGAAGGCAGGUGAGAAUCCUGCCCGCCGUAAACCUGAGGUUUCCUGGGGAAGGCUCGUCCGCCCAGGGUAAGCCGGGACCUAACCCGAGGCCAAAAGGCGUAGGGGAUGGACAACUGGUUGAGAGUCCAGUGCCACCUGAUUUCCGUUUGAGUGAAGGGGUGACGCAGGAGGAUAAGUGAAGCGCACGGAUGGAAGAGUGCGUCCAAGCACGUAGGGUGUUAGGUAGGCAAAUCCGCCUAACGAAAAGCCUGAGGUGUGAUGGGGAGGGAAGCGUAGUACCGAAGUCACCGAGUCCAAACCGCCAAGAAAAGCCUCUAGCAAGGAAGCAGGUGCCCGUACCGCAAACCGACACAGGUAGGUGAGGAGAGAAUCCUAAGGCGCGCGAGAGAACCCUCGUUAAGGAACUCGGCAAAAUGACCCCGUAACUUCGGGAGGAGGGGUGCUCUAUUAGCGUGAGUAUAUUACACAUGUAUGAGCGUGAGAGAGCCGCAGUGAUCAGGCCCAGGCGGCUGUUUAGCAAAAACACAGGUCUCUGCUAAAUCGAAAGAUGAAGUAUAGAGGCUGACGCCUGCCCGGUGCCGGAAGGUUAAGGGGAAGUGUUAGCGCAAGCAAAGCGCUGAACCGAAGCCCCGGUGAACGGCGGCCGUAACAAUAACGGUCCUAAGGUAGCGAAAUUCCUUGUCUGGUAAGUUCAGACCCGCACGAAAGGCGUAACGAUCUGGGCGCUGUCUCGACGAGGGGCUCGGUGAAAUUGUAAUACCGGUGAAGAUGCCGGUUACCUGCGAUAGGACAGUAAGACCCCGUGGAGCUUUACUGUAGCUUGAUAUUGGAUUUUGGUAGUUGAUGUACAGGAUAGGUGGGAGACUAAGAAUCCAGGUCGCAAGGCUUGGAGGAGUCACCGGUGGGAUACCACUCUUUAAUUGCUGGAGUUCUAACCUGGGCCCGUAAGCCGGGUCAGGGACAGUGUCUGGCGGGCAGUUUGACUGGGGCGGUCGCCUCCCAAAAAGUAACGGAGGCGCCCAAAGGUUUCCUCAGCGCGGAUGGAAAUCGCGCGAAGAGUGUAAAGGCAUAAGGGAGCUUGACUGCGAGAGAGACAUCUCGAGCAGGGACGAAAGUCGGGCUUAGUGAUCCGGCGGUACCGAGUGGAAGGGCCGUCGCUCAUCGGAUAAAAGCUACCCCGGGGAUAACAGGCUUAUCUCCCCCAAGAGUUCACAUCGACGGGGAGGUUUGGCACCUCGAUGUCGGCUCAUCACAUCCUGGGGCUGGAGAAGGUCCCAAGGGUUGGGCUGUUCGCCCAUUAAAGUGGUACGUGAGCUGGGUUCAGAACGUCGUGAGACAGUUCGGUCCCUAUCCAUCGCAGGCGCAGGAGAAUUGAGAGGAUCUGUCCCUAGUACGAGAGGACCGGGAUGGACAGACCGCUGGUGUACCAGUUGUCUCGCCAGAGGCACAGCUGGGUAGCUAUGUCUGGAAGUGAUAAGCGCUGAAAGCAUCUAAGCGCGAAGCCAACCUCAAGAUGAGUUCUCCCAUUCCGUAAGGAAGUAAGGUCCCACUAAGACUAAGUGGUAGAUAGGCCGGAGGUGUAAGUGUAGCGAUGCAUUAAGCUGACCGGUACUAAUAGACCGAGGUCUUGACC